rnacentral:SRP_RNA from 1 species
GCCAGGUGUGGUGGUGGGCGCCUGUAGUCCCAGCUACUUGGGAGGCUGAGGCAGGAGAAUCACUUGAACCCAGGAGGCAGAGGUUGCAGUGAGCCGAGAUCAUGCCACUGCACUCCAGCCUGGGUGACAGAGUGAGACUCUGUCUCAA